GAUGAACGCUGGCGGCGUGCCUAAUACAUGCAAGUCGAGCGAAUGGAUUAAGAGCUUGCUCUUAUGAAGUUAGCGGCGGACGGGUGAGUAACACGUGGGUAACCUGCCCAUAAGACUGGGAUAACUCCGGGAAACCGGGGCUAAUACCGGAUAAUAUUUUGAACUGCAUGGUUCAAAAUUGAAAGGAGGCUUCGGCUGUCACUUAUGGAUGGACCCGCGUCGCAUUAGCUAGUUGGUGAGGUAACGGCUCACCAAGUCAACGAUGCGUAGCCGAACUGGGAGGGUGAUCGGCCACACUAGGACUGAGACACGGCCCAGACUCCUACGGGAGGCAGCAGUAGGGAAUCUUCCGCAAUGGACGAAAGUCUGACGGAGCACCGCGGCGUGAGUGAUGAAGGCUUUCGGGUCGUAAAGCUCUGUUGUUAGGGAAGAACAAGUGCUAGCUGAAUAAGCUGGCAACUUGACGGUACCUAACCAGAAAGCCACGGCUAACUACGUGCCAGCCGCCGCAGUAC
rnacentral:rRNA from 1 species